AUUGAACGCUGGCUGCAUGCUUAACACAUGCAAGUCGAACGAGAAAGUACCUUCGGGUGCGAGUAUAGUGGCGGACGGGUGAGUAAUGCAUAGGAAUCUGCCCAGUAGUGGGGGACAACUCGGGGAAACUCGAGCUAAUACCGCAUAUUUCCUACGGGAGAAAGACUUCGGUCGCUAUUGGAUGAGCCUAUGUCAGAUUAGCUUGUUGGUAGGGUAAUGGCCUACCAAGGCUACGAUCUGUAGCUGGUCUGAGAGGAUGAUCAGCCACACUGGGACUGAGACACGGCCCAGACUCCUACGGGAGGCAGCAGUGGGGAAUAUUGGACAAUGGGCGAAAGCCUGAUCCAGCAAUGCAGCGUGUGUGAAGAAGGCCUGAGGGUUGUAAAGCACUUUCAGUAGGGAAGAUAAUGACGGUACCUACAGAAGAAGCACCGGCUAACUCCG
rnacentral:rRNA from 1 species